rnacentral:tmRNA from 17 species
GCAGUUGAAGUUAUUGCGUUUGUUUGAUACGAUAAGCGGCGCGCUGUUUUGCGCUAUGACAAUAAAUGGUUUUUCGUAAUAGGUAUCUUGGACCCGAAGGCGGAGUUCGGCACCUCCACCGUUUUGCGGGGGUGAUUUAGUUUCGACAGGUAUUAAAGGCUAAACUUUUGUUCGGUUGAGUGAUCCCGUGAUUCACAACACUUUUUAUAAGUGCAAACGACAAUUUUGAAGCUGGUUCUGCUGAAUAUGCAGUAGCUGCCUAGUUUAUAGGUAGUACAGCGCGGUUUGGGGCGGCCGGUCAACAGAACUGCCCCAGU